rnacentral:tRNA from 4 species
GGGGUCGUAGCUUAGCCUGGCUUAAAGCGCCUCCCUGUCACGGAGGAGAUCGCGAGUCCGAAUCUCGUCGGCCCCGCCA